UAGGAAUGUACAGAUUAGAUGCUGCGUAUCAGAUUGUGUGUAGGAAUGGACAGAUUAGAUGCUGCGUAUCAGAUUGUGUGUAGGAAUGCACAGAUUAGAUGCUGCGUAUCAGAUUGUGUGUAGGAAUGGAAAGAUUAGAUGCUGUGCAUCGGAGAUUGUGUGGACAGAUUAGAUGCUGUGCAUCGGAAUGGACAGAGUAGAUGCUGUGUAUCAGAUUGUGUGUAGGAAUGGACAGACUAGAUGCUGCGUAUCAGAUUGUGUGUAGGAAUGGACAGACUAGGUCCUGGGUAUCAGGAUUGUGUGUAGGAAUGGACAGAUUAGAUGCUGCGUAUCAGAUUGUGUGUAGGAAUGGAUAGACUAGAUGCUGCGUAUCAGAGAU